UGGGGAAUCUUGGACAAUGGGGGCAACCCUGAUCCAGCCAUGCCGCGUGAGUGAUGAAGGCCUUAGGGUCGUAAAGCUCUUUCGCCUGUGAAGAUAAUGACGGUAGCAGGUAAAGAAACCCCGGCUAACUCCGUGCCAGCAGCCGCGGUAAUACGGAGGGGGCGAGCGUUGUCCGGAUUUAUUGGGCGUAAAGAGCUCGUAGGCGGCUCAACAAGUCGGCCGUGAAAGCCUGAGGCUCAACCUCAGGACGCCCGGUCGAAAACUGUUGUGGCUAGGGGUUCGGUAGAGGAGAGUGGAAUUCCCGGUGUAGCGGUGAAAUGCGCAGAUAUCGGGAGGAACACCAGUGGCGAAGGCGCCGCUCUGGGCCGUAACUGACGCUGAGGAGCGAAAGCAUGGGGUAGCAAAACAGGAUUUAGAUACCCUGGUAGUCCAUGCCGUAAACGUUGGGCCACUAGGUGUGGGUCUCAACCAACGAGAUCCGCGCCGUCGCUAACGCAUUAAGUGCCCCGCCUGGGGAGUACGGUCGCAAGAUUAAAACUCAAA
rnacentral:rRNA from 1 species